AUGAGGCCUUUGGCUUGAGACUUGGUUUCUUCACCAGAACCUACUUCUAAGGUUUUUCUAUAGCAGAAGCCUCAACAAGAGAAGAAGUGACUGCUGAAGCUGCAGCUGCAGAGUCCUCAUUAAACUUUGUGACAACAACUUUUGCUUUUUUCUGCAGCUUAGACAAAUACUUGUCUUUUUCAUCAGGUCAAUCCUCAAUUG
rnacentral:lncRNA from 1 species